rnacentral:tRNA from 6 species
GAGAGAGAGGGAUUCGAACCCUNANGGUUAUGAAAACUAUACCGGUUUUCAAGACCGGGGCUAUUAACCACUCAGCCAUCUCUCCC